AUUCAACUGACUAGUCCUGAAUAGGACGAAAUGCUCAUCCUGGAU
rfam:Schistosoma mattheei strain Denwood, Zambia genome assembly, scaffold: SMTD_scaffold0009131